rnacentral:rRNA from 1 species
AGCUAAUACCGCAUACGACCUGAGGGUGAAAGCGGGGGACCGUAAGGCCUCGCGCAAUAGGAGCGGCCGAUGUCUGAUUAGCUAGUUGGUGGGGUAAAGGCCCACCAAGGCGACGAUCAGUAGCUGGUCUGAGAGGACGAUCAGCCACACUGGGACUGAGACACGGCCCAGACUCCUACGGGAGGCAGCAGUGGGGAAUUUUGGACAAUGGGGGCAACCCUGAUCCAGCAAUGCCGCGUGUGUGAAGAAGGCCUUCGGGUUGUAAAGCACUUUUGUCCGGAAAGAAAUCGCGUUGGAUAAUACCUGACGUGGAUGACGGUACCGGAAGAAUAAGCACCGGCCAACUACGUGCCAGCAGCCGCGGCAAUACGUAGGGUGCGAGCGUUAAUCGGAAUUACUGGGCGUAAAGCGUGCGCAGGCGGUUUUGUAAGACAGGCGUGAAAUCCCCGGGCUCAACCUGGGAAUUGCGCUUGUGACUGCAAGGCUAGAGUGUGUCAGAGGGGGGUAGAAUUCCACGUGUAGCAGUGAAAUGCGUAGAGAUGUGGAGGAAUACCGAUGGCGAAGGCAGCCCCCUGGGACAUGACUGACGCUCAUGCACGAAAGCGUGGGGAGCAAACAGGAUUAGAUACCCUGGUAGUCCACGCCCUAAACGAUGUCAACUAGUUGUUGGGGAUUCAUUUCCUCAGUAACGUAGCUAACGCGUGAAGUUGACCGCCUGGGGAGUACGGUCGCAAGAUUAAAACUCAAAGGAAUUGACGGGGACCCGCACAAGCGGUGGAUGAUGUGGAUUAAUUCGAUGCGACGCGAAAAACCUUACCUACCCUUGACAUGCCACUAACGAAGCAGAGAUGCA